rnacentral:rRNA from 1 species
AUUGAACGCUGGCGGCAGGCCUAACACAUGCAAGUCGAGCGGAGCGGCGGACGGGUGAGUAAUGCCUAGGAAUCUGCCUGGCAGUGGGGGAUAACGUCCGGAAACGGGCGCUAAUACCGCAUACUAUCAGAUGAGCCUAGGUCGGAUUAGCUAGUUGGUGGGGUAAAGGCCUACCACGGCGACGAUCCGUAACUGGCCUGAGAGGAUGAUCAGUCACAGGGGACCGGAGACACGGCCCAGCCUCCUGCGGGGGGCAGCAGGGGGGAAUAUUGGACAAUGGGCGAAAGCGUGGACCAGCCAUGCCGCGUGUGUGAAGAAGGUCUUCGUAUUGUAAAGCACUUUAGGUUGAGAGACGUUACCAACAGAAUAGGCACCGGCUAACUUCGUGCCAGCAGCCGCGUAAUUC